rnacentral:lncRNA from 1 species
GUGUGCGGGGUGUGUGUGUGUGUGGUGUUUGUGUGUGGUGUGUAUGGUGUGUGUGAUGUGUGGUGUGUGCGGGGUGUGUGUGUGUGUGGUGUUUGUGUGUGGUGUUUGUGUGUGGUGUGUAUGGUGUGUGUGAUGUGGUGUGUGUGGGUUGUGUGUGUGGUGUUUGUGUGUGGUAUGUAUGGUGUGUGUGAUGUGUGGUGUGUGGUGUGUGUGUGGUGUGUGUGUCGUAUGUGGUGUGCAUGGUGUGUGUGGUGUGUAUGGUGUGUGUAUGGUUUGUGUGAGGUGUGUGUGGGGUGUGUGUGUGUGGUGUUUGUGUGUGGUGUGUGGGAUGUGUGGUGUGUGGGGGGUGUGUGUGUGGUGUUUGUGUGUGGUGUGUAUGGUGUGUGUGUGGUUUGUGUGAGGUGUGUGUGGGGUGUGUGUGUGUGGUGUUUGUGUGUGGUGUGUGUGGGGUGUGUGUGUGUGGUGUGUGUGUGGUGUGUGUGUGUGGUGUGUAUGGUGUGUGUGAUGUGUGGUGUGUGGUGUGUGUGUGUGUGUGUGUGUGUGUGUGUGUGUGUAGAAUGUGAAAGC